rnacentral:rRNA from 1 species
UACGUAGGGGGCUAGCGUUGUCCGGAAUCAUUGGGCGUAAAGAGCGUGUAGGCGGUCCGGUAAGUCCGCUGUGAAAGUCGGGGGCUCAACCCUCGAAUGCCGGUGGAUACUGUCGGGCUAGAGUGCGGAAGAGGCGAGUGGAAUUCCUGGUGUAGCGGUGAAAUGCGCAGAUAUCAGGAGGAACACCUAUUGCGAAGGCAGCUCGCUGGGACGUUACUGACGCUAAGGCGCGAAAGCGUGGGGAGCGAACAGG